rnacentral:rRNA from 5 species
AACUUCUGAAUGUUGACCUCGGAUCAGGUAGGA